rnacentral:rRNA from 1 species
AUUGAACGCUGGCGGCAUGCCUUACACAUGCAAGUCGAACGGCAGCACGGGUGCUUGCACCUGGUGGCGAGUGGCGAACGGGUGAGUAAUACAUCGGAACGUACCUUAUCGUGGGGGAUAACGCAGCGAAAGCUGUGCUAAUACCGCAUACGCCCUGAGGGGGAAAGCGGGGGAUCGCAGGACCUCGCGCGAUUAGAGCGGCCGAUGCCUGAUUAGCUUGUUGGUGGGGUAAAAGCCCACCAAGGCGACGAUCAGUAGCUGGGCUGAGAGGACGGUCAGCCACACUGGGACUGAGACACGGCCCAGACUCCUACGGGAGGCAGCAGUGGGGAAUUUUGGACAAUGGGGGCAACCCUGAUCCAGCAAUGCCGCGUGAGUGAAGAAGGCCUUCGGGUUGUAAAGCUCUUUUGUCAGGGAAGAAACACCGGCUCUAACACAGUCCGGGAAUGACGGUACCUGAAGAAUAAGCACCGGCUAACUACGUGCCAGCCGCCGCGGUAA